GCCUAUCGAAAGGGAAUACGGUUAAAAUUCCGUAACCGCAAUGUAGAUUCUGAACGGCAACGUAAAUGAACUUGGAGACGCCGGUGUGGGCCCUGGGAAGAGUUAUCUUUUCUCCUUUACAGCUUAUAACCCUGGAAUCGGAUUAUCCGGAGAUAGGGUCUAAUGGCUGGUAGAGCAUUGCUAUUUUGUAAUGUCCGGUGCGUCCACAACGGCCCUUGAAAAUCCGAGGGAAUGAAAAAGUCUUACAUGCGAUCGUACCCAUAUCCGCAUCAGGUCCCCAAGGUGAUCAGCCUCUAGUCCAUAGAAUAAUGUAGAUAAGGGAAG
rnacentral:rRNA from 1 species